rnacentral:lncRNA from 1 species
UGGCUGCGAUGGCGGAGGAGAAUGAGAGCGAAGGGCUUUUUGUCUAUGGUUUCAGUGGAUUGAGUGAGGGAAGAAGGGGAGAUGGUGAUCGAUUUUUCUUUUUUUUUUCUUUUUUUGUUUGUAAUCGGGGCGAAUGGGCUGGGUGGGGUGGGUUGAGUAGAGUAACCUUUUAUUUUUGGUUGGAUUGGGCUUUAUAUUU